UUCAAUAUUGCCAAGGUCAGUCCAGUUCAGUAAUUCUCAGUACAGCGGACUCUGAGAGAGCCCUGAAAAAAUGAGCGAAUAUACCUUGUCCUCUUGGCCAUACCACAAGCACUGCUGUACGGUGCCCAGGCAUGCUGAAUCUUUUCACAGAAAUGUCAUAGUUAAUCCCAGUUCCAGCUGCAGUGGCUGCUUGUUAGCGCAUCCUUCCUAUGGCAUUAGCCCACUUCUCACAAGAAGGUGUUUGUGUUGCAGCUGCUGUCCCUUUCUUCUUGAUCCAAAAUGUAGGGCAGGACAGAAUUUGGGGAGAUCACUGGAUGUUGGUAGUCCUGUUCUGGCAAAAAAAGAAAAUGACCCUUAUUAUUACCAAGGAACAAUAAUAAAAGAUU